rnacentral:misc_RNA from 1 species
UUGUGGAGGAGGACGCCGAAGGUGGGGCUGAUGACUGGGGUGAAGUCGUAACAAGGUAGCCGUACCGGAAGGUGCGGCUGGAUCACCUCCUAACAGGGAGACAACAACUGAUCGUGAUGUUUAAGAUAUCUAUUCUUAAGCCAUGAUCCUGUCACCUAAGGUCGAUCGGUACCUCAAUUUUUUCUCAAUACUUUUGAUUUUUCAAAGGAUAUAGAAAAAAAUCAGUUCCUAAACUUUGUCUAGGUCACACCCCGCAAGGGUACUCCUGGGCCAUUAGCUCAGGUGGUUAGAGCGCACCCCUGAUAAGGGUGAGGUCCCUGGUUCAAGUCCAGGAUGGCCCAUUCGGUGUUGGGGGUAUAGCUCAGUUGGUAGAGCGCCUGCUUUGCAAGCAGGAUGUCAGCGGUUCGAGUCCGCUUACCUCCACUGAUCGACCUCCUGACAACAAACUAAGGAGUAGUUGUUGCCAGAUGUGAUUUAGACCAAAAUUUUAUUGACAUGAACCUAGCUUCAUUUCAUCCAUAAUCUAAAACAUAGAUAAGGUUGAAAAGACGCUGGGCUCUCUACAAUUCCAAGGAAUUGUGGUUAUGUUCAGUAGAACCUUGACAACUGCAUAGGUGAGUUUGGAAUGAAUAAAGCAUCUCAUGGAUGCAUUAUUCUUAUAUAUAAGAAUAAUGUUUAAUUCUUGAGCAAGAGAAUAAAUUUUAUUGUUAUUUUUGUUUUUUACACUAAUAAUAAUGAAAUUUAUAUGGUCAAGCUACAA